CAAUCAAAACUCUCAACACCAGAAGAAACAUUCUCGUAUUUAUUAUUUUUCAUUUGGCUUCUUGUUUUUUGAUCUUUGAAGGAAAAACUGUUAAUUUAAGUAAUUGGAUUUCUAAUAUAAGAGUUCAUGGUUUGUUUAUGAUGAUACAGUUAAUUCUAAUGGAAAGUUUCCACUUUGAAUAAUCAUCACAUCACAUGUCAUUUAUCUGACGCUUUUAUCCACAGCGACUUACAAUCAGAACAUUUCAACCAUCAGGACACAAAGUCAGAAGAACAAGAAACAAGAAAGUGUGAUUUCAUCAAAUAAGCCGUUUUACAACUUGCUGUAGAUAAGAACCAUUAUAAGUCCAAUGUAAGUGCUGCAGGUAGUUAGUGUGUUAGUGGAGGUAGAGUCUGAAGAGGUGUGUCUUUAGUCUGAAGAUGUGAAGGCUCUCUGUGGUCCUGAUGUCUUCACAGACCUCCUUCCACCAUUUAGGAGCAGGACAGCAAAGAGUGGAGAUCUAGUCGAGUGUUUUGCUCUCAGUGAGGAGGAACAAGCAGUUUAUCACAUGCAGAGCGGAGAGGUCAGAGGUCGGGAUGUCGGGUUGGACCAGGUCCUGGAUGUAAGCUGGACCCCAUCCAUUCACAGCCUGGUACCUGAGCACCAUGUUUAGAACUGGAUGAGCCACCGGUACCAGUGAAGAGAGCGGAGGAGUGGAGGAAUACUCACAGAUACUCACAGAAUCAUUCUCAAAAGGAGACGAUGAGACGGUCCGUCCUCCUGCAGCUCUUCCUUGUAGAAGAGUCGUGUCCUCUGAGGACACAAAGGACUGAUGGAAUCUUCAUCCUGACGUCCGGCCUCGUUAACACCAAAUAAUGGAUUUACUGAAGGUAUUUUGCACCAUUUGAAUCACAGAAACUUUUCUCGACCUCAAUAGCAACGUAACAUUCAGCUUUUAGACGUUAGCUUAUUAUUACAAAACAUGAUUACGGUUCAGAAUAAUUCACUAAAUCCUUCCACCCGUCUUUGGGUUGCUUCUUUCGUCUUCACAUCAAGUCCAAGACAGAAACAACUGUCCAUAAAUGUAUUUUAAAUCUCAACUUGUUUUUCCUCUUUGUUUCUGAGAUGCGCUUUUAGAGUUGGACAGAUGUCCCACGAGUGUCCUCGCGUCCUUCACGGGACGGAGGAGGACAGGUUUGUGUCAGUGAGUCCACACUUGUCCUCCAGACGCAGACUUUCACUCCAGGACCCACUUGGAUAGAAAAUACGGCUAAAAAUCUUGAAUGUUUUUGCAGCGUUUGCCUCCUCUUCAUCCUCUUCAUCUGCGCCCCAUCAGCUCCUCCUCCCGCGGGUGGUGUAGUGACUGACAGGGUGGAGCUCGGGCCGGCUGACAGGCGUUUGAUUCUGUGUCAGCGCUUCUUCUCCUUCUGUCCUCCGGAGGCUGAAGGUGGAGUUUAGAAGCAGAGAAGCUUUGUGACAUCGAAUGCAGAAGAACCACCACGUCUCUUAAAGUGUCUUAACUCAAGUGAGGCUUUAAAAAUCAACGAGCUACUUAUUCACACGGCUGACGUCACGGUGCUUUCUGUCCCAAAGCUUUUAAACUCCAGAAAGAACCAAUGUCGUUCUAAGUGAACAUUUAGAAUAUUGAGUGUUUAGACUCCACUGACAAACAGGGUGAGAACGUCCUGCUAGACGGGGACAUUGUUGACACUGAAACACGUCAAACGAUGGAGAGUUGAGAGCACGAGGACAACAAGAAGACGUGUUCCACCUCCAACGUGAUCAUUAAAGUGACAUUAAGUGUCUAAAACAGACUUUCUAAAGUGAUUACGCGUUCAUUUCAGGUUUAGUCUUAAUUGCAAUUACUGAAUUCUUGAUUUAUUUGAAGCAAAUAUAUAUACAUAUAUAUAUAUAUAUAU
ensembl:lncRNA